rnacentral:lncRNA from 1 species
UUUUUUUUUUUUUUUUUUUGUGUAAGAGUGGAACUUAUUUGAGGAUGUAUACAAAUGCAGAAGGUCAAUAAAUGUAAGUAUGUGUAUUGACAUGGUAAGUUAGGUACAAUUUAGGUUGUUAUAGACACUUGCACAAAGGCAAACUUGAUUAGUUGCUAUUCAAAGGCUAACUUGCUCCUAAUUGUUUACUAAUAUUACAUUAUUAUUAAUCACAAGGAAAGUUAAGUAAUAGGAUACAUUUUAUAAAAAAACAAAAAACAAAAAUUAAAGGGGGUAAAAAGUAACUUAUCACAAAAUUUGAGGGCAAAGUAUUAUUAUUUUACUUAAAAAUAAAUAGACCCAAUAGAAAUUUUAAGAAAGAGAGAAAAAAAAAACGAGUAGACGUACUGCUGCAAUUGGCAAAUUUGUAUGGGGAGUACCGGUGGGGGAUGAGUUAAUCUAAAAUUGAAUGAAUGAAAUUAAGUAUUAUAAACAAUAUCUCAAUGAAUGACAUACCUUAUAUUGACGUAUGCUGAUAAAGAAAAAUGAAUGACAUAUCUUAUUGUAUUUUUGCAUAUUGUUGACUUAAAUAUCUAAAAUUGUUGCUUUGAAGUUUACAUUUGUUGUGCCUAUGCAAAAUAUUAUUCCAUCCAGUUGCGCGUGGCAAAUCCACUGGCCCCAAAUCAUGUUCACAUCGAAAUCCCAGAGAACAAAGUAAAAAAUGACUUGAAAUCAGUUGGUUCACAAACCAUAAAAAGAUAUAUUACAAAAAAAAUUGGCAUUACAAGGAUCCUCUAUCUGAGUUGACAUGAAGUUAAAUCAUUUCAUAUACAAAUAAUUAUAGGGGAUUACAUAAAUUAAAGAAAAGAAAAAAGAAACAAAGGGAGGAAAUUGUGUAGAGAAAAAGAGAUGAGAAGGCCCCAGAUCUAAAUUGGGAUUCCAAAUGGAGAAGAAAAGGCACAAUUCGCACAGUGAUGAU